AUCAAAUCAAGAAAAACGUACACCAGAUAAAGAGAUAAAACACACUGGUCAGCCAAAAUUGACAAUGGCGUCUUCUUUUCAUAAAGGUUUUACAAGAGCACAGACUAUCUUCUUUGUUAUGCUGU